AUGUCUGUGCUCCACAACCGCAAUCUGAAACGCCGUACCUUCUCCUUCGACACCGGGCGCUCCGAGUGGAGGUUCCAUGGGGAACGGGCCUUGCCUUUCCAAGGCCAGGGCUACUACGACAGCACGCUGGACGCGUGGGUCGGCCUUCGCGAGGAUGGCUACGUCUGCGCCUGCCAGGUCGCCCCCCGCAGCGGCGCCAUGCGGCCGGAGUGGAAGAUCGUCAAGGAGAAGAUGUUCCACAAGGUACCGGAGAGGAAGCGGGCGGCCACGUAUGCCACUCUCACGUACAUGGGCAACGCCAGGUUUUGCCUUGUGGAGAGUGUGGUCCGUGAGGAAGUGGAGUAUGAGUACGCCUUCGGUGAUUGCGAUGGCUGCAUGCUCCAUAUGACCAGGUUUGGCCUCAGGUACACUCAUAAGGGAGAGCUGCAGACCACCAUCGAUUGUACCACCAGCUCUUAUCCAUUGUCCAAGCAUAUCACACAUUUUUCUCCUGUGGCGUUCUGGAUGUAG
rnacentral:rRNA from 1 species